rnacentral:lncRNA from 1 species
UGGUGUGUAACAAUUAAGUUAUGCAACAAACUAAACUUGUAUCAUUUAUAUCUGUAAUACUAUUAUACAGGGAACCUUAAAAAGCAUUACUAAUUUUUCACAUGCAGUCCUAAAUAAACUUAAAUGAAACACUUUCAUUGGGUCUACCAUAACAUUAACAUGUAAUGACCUGACCAUGAUUGUUCGGUGUGAUUAUAGAAU